rnacentral:misc_RNA from 1 species
GAUGAAGAACGUAGCGAAAUGCGAUAGCUAGUGUGAAUUGCAGAUUUCAGUGAAUCAUCGAGUCUUUGAACGCACAUUGCGCCCUUUGGUAUUCCUUAGGGCAUGCCUGUUCGAGCGUCAUUUAAACCUUCAAGCUAAGCUUGGUGUUGGGUGACUGUCCGCCUCACGGCGGACUCGCCUCAAAAUUAUUGGCGGCCGGUACAUUGGCUUCGAGCGCAGCAGAAACGCGAACUCGGGCCCGUCGUAUUGGCUCCCAGAAGCUAUCUUCACAAUUUUGACCUCGGAUCAGGUAGGGAUACCCGCUGAACUUAAGCAUAUCAAUAAGCGGAGGA